rnacentral:rRNA from 1 species
GACGUAGGGCGCGAGCGUUGUCCGGAUUUAUUGGGCGUAAAGAGCUCGUAGGCGGCUCGUCGCGUCGGCUGUGAAAACCCGCAGCUUAACUGUGGGCUUGCAGCCGAUACGGGCGGGCUAGAGUUCGGUAGGGGAGACUGGAAUUCCUGGUGUAGCGGUGAAAUGCGCAGAUAUCAGGAGGAACACCGGUGGCGAAGGCGGGUCUCUGGGCCGAUACUGACGCUGAGGAGCGAAAGCGUGGGGAGCGAACAGGAUUAGAAACCCCCGUAGUCC